AAAGGGAAGUUCUUCUUGACCUGGUAUUCUAACAAAUUGCUGAAUCAUGGUGAUCAAAUACUAGAUGAAGCCAACAAAGCUUUCCUGGGCUGUAAAGUCAAAUUAGCAAUCAAAGUAAACUUCAUAACACCUCAAUCAACAGCCCCCUUCAUUUUCUGUCAGAUGAUUAGCCUCUAAACCAUGAUCAACAGGUAUCUGGAAUUCACUGGUGGUACAAAGUUGAAAAUCAUGCUGCAGAGCUUACUGCUGGAUAUUACAACCUUAAUGAUAGAGACGGAUACCGCCCCAUUGCAAGGAUGCUGUCUCGCCAUCAUGCCAUUUUGAACUUUACAUGUCUUGAGAUGAGGGACUCAGAGCAACCCUCAGAUGCCAAAAGUGGACCACAGGAGCUUGUUCAGCAGGUAAUGCAUUACAAUUUUGUCUAAUUUAUAGCUUGUUCUGUUUAUUAAAGAUGAUGCCAAGUGUAAAUGCAGUAUUAUAGCGGUUAAAUUGCCAAACAUGAACACAUGCACAGGUAUUGAGUGGAGGUUGGAGAGAAGACAUCAGAGUUGCUGGAGAAAAUGCACUUCCAAGGUAUGAUGCCACAGCUUACAACCAAAUCAUACUGAAUGCAAGACCGCAAGGUGUCAACAACAAUGGCCCUCCAAAACUAAGCAUGUUCGGAGUAACAUACCUUCGUCUAUCAGAUGAUCUACUGCAAAAAUCAAAUUUUAAUAUAUUCAAAAAAUUUGUGCUAAAGAUGCAUGCAGAUCAGGUGAGCAGCCGUCAUGCAUGCACUUGAAAAGAUAAUAUUUUGAACUUUCUAAAGUUUCAUAAUUACCUUGUUGCCUCUUACUCAUGUCCCUCAAAUUGCAGGAUUACUGUGCAAACCCUCAAAAGUAUAAUCACGCCAUAACACCAUUGAAGCCAUCUGCACCAAAGAUUCCCAUUGAGGUUCUUCUGGAAGCAACUAAACCAACACUGCCAUUCCCCUGGCUUCCAGAGACAGACAUGAAAGUUGAUGGUUGAUUUCCCAAUUUGGUGCCAUGAGUAAUUAAAUAAUCUGCUGGAAAUAAUAUCUACCAAUAUAAAUAAAGCAUCCAGCCACUGUAAUCUGCAAUGCUGAUAAUAAUGCCAUGAAGUAGCACUGCCUAAACAUCUACAAAGUACUCUCGUGUACUUUUUAUGUGUGUAUUCCUAUCACGAAGUUAAUAAACUAUUUUAUCAAAUGAAUAUCGCAAUACCAAAAUCUCCAUCUCUAAACUGGUGAAACUUGCUCACAUAGCAUAUUUCGAGAAUCAACUUACAUCAACACAUAAUUUGUACGCUUAUUAUCCAAAUGUGAUUAAGUGUUUAAAGAAUUGAACCAAGUCAUAUGAAGUGAAAAAUUCUUAAUCUUUUAAAAAUUAUAUGGCCCAAUCCAAAUGACAGUAAAUUAUAACACAAGUACCAUACCCGGGGAAAAAAAUCCUAUUACAAGUUAGCUUUCCAUGACAAAUAGAUUUAGAAAUAAUAAAAUAUCUAACAUAUGAGAAGAAUAAUUAACUUCUUUAGACAGAUCUCUAAGUAAAGGAAAGUAAAAAAUUGAUGUCAUAUAUCAGGAAUGAUUUUUUGGCAUACCGCAUACAUAUGUAAUAACGCAUAAAUAAUUAAGUUUUAUGGAAUUUGGGUUUUAUCAUAUAUUGAUUAUUCCAUUGCUAAGUAUUUAAGCUUUAAAAUACAUUAUUUUCUUAAAUUCCUUGUCUUGCACAAGUUUUUUGCACGAGAACUAAAACCACAUGACUAGUUAAAAUAAAAGCUUCACGUUCAUUUGCAGAAAACUAUCAGGUAAAAUAUUUCCGGGUUGGUCAAGGUAGGGAAUGGAUAAAAUGAUUUUGGCCUUCAGUUGUUGUCACUAUAAUCAGGUAUACUAUAUACUUAGGAAGCAUUUGGUUUAUGAAUAUGUUUCCUAUUUUCAUUUUCUACUUUCACAAAAGUUUACAAAAUGUCACAUUGUUUUCACUUUAUUUCCUGUUAAAAUAGAAUAAGGUACAAAAGAAAAGUUGGUAUGGAAAAACAUAAUAACAAGUUAACAACUAUUAGAAUUAGAGAACUUACUUGGCCAUGGCUAUUAGGAUGCACAGUGAAACACAUCUAGAAAAUGAUAUAGUAAAUGAAUAUACUAUAUCCAUCUAUUUGAGCACAAGACAAAAGGGUGGUUGGAAUGUUAAGGCUUGGUGUCUGGUGAAUGUGAGUUUGGCAACCUUGGUACAACAGCCAGGAGGGAGUUCACUUCACGUGUAAACGUACUAGGAAACUGGGGCUUGUCAUAUAAUGAGAAAACAUAUCCUAAUAUUGGUGCAUUGAGGCAAAACAUGACACUUCAGAUUACAGUUAUAGUCCGGUUGCAUCUGCAAUGCUAACGGUGAUGCUGCAUUGUAGCAAUUCCAAAACAUCCUAAGGUAUAUGUUCAUGUCAGAUAAAAAAAUCAUCAAUUUUCAAUAGAAUAUCUUCUUCUAGCUAACAAAUUUCCAUUGAACAAAAAUUAUGUAUUUUCAUCAUUUUUGAAUUUUAUCUACUACUUCAUCAAACUUCCAUGAGCUCACCAAUAUCCACCGCAUGAGCAUAAACCAUCUCUAAAAUGGUGAAACCUACAAAUAUCUCGCAUGAUAAUCUCCCGAUUUGUGAGCCUAGAAAUCAUUUUUAUUACCGUGUGGCAAUCUCCACACACACAAAGAUUCUUGGUUAUUCUGAUUGUUGUCCCUGGACCAGUAUUAAUAAGAGCAAAAGCAAGUGCCAACCUCUCGCUAUGAUCCCAAAGCAUCUUCUCCUUUAUUUCUUCCUCAACAUCGUAGAGAACUAAACUAGUGUCAGGCUUGUAUCCAGCUUUCUUCAGCUGCUCAUUCAAGUCUUUCAAUUUGGCAUAAAUAUCAUCCGACUGUUCAUGGGAAGUAUCCCCAACAAAAAAUUGAUGAACCAUCUUAUUUAGCUCAACAAAACUGUAACUAGGUGGUUUCCUCAAUCUCCUUUUUGUCACCAAUGCCCUCACGUUUUCAACAUCUUUCCACCAUCUCUGUGUUGGAAAGGCAAACAUAGCUACUCACUCCAUCUGGAUUCAAUUCAAAAAGCUUCUGCGCUGAGAUCACUGCUAACUUGACAUUCCGAUGUAAUCUGCAAGCAGAAAGAAGAGCAGUCCACACAUCCUCAUUAGGUUUCAAUUUCAUAUUCUCUAUAACUCCAUAUGCUUCAGCUAAGUACCCUGCUCUGCCAAGUAGAUCCACUAAACAUGAAUAAUGAGUUGCUCUAGCUCCCCGCUGUAGUCUCUAGUCAUUUUGUAGAAUAUCUCUUUACCAUCACCCACUAAUCCAUAAUGACUACAAGCCGACAAAACUGCAGUGAAAAUGCCCUCAUCUGAAGUCACACCUUUACCUAGCAUUUCAUAAAAAAUGGAGAUGGCCUCUCUCCCCCUCCCAUGAAUUCCAAAUCCAGUAACCAUAACCGUACAAGCAGCCAAAAUUUUCUCAGGCAUCUCAUCAAACACUAAGCACCGUUCCCACAGCAACAUUCACUCCAUAACCCCUCUUAACAACAUAUGACUGCACACUGGCACCCAAUCGCAAUGCCGAGAUUUGAUUACAAGCCCCAAGCACAGAAGUCACAGUCACCUCAUCAGGCACUGCACCAACUACAACCAUUCGACCGAAAAGCUCAAGAACUAGAAAAGCAUCCCCGCACUUCUCAUACCCUGAAAUCAAAGAAUUCCACGACACAACAUCCUUCACUCUCAACCCUUCAAACAACUUCCUUGCAAAGGACAUAGACUCACAAUUGCAGUACAUGCAAAUAAUUGAAUUCAUCAAAAACCCAUUACACAGUCUCCUAUUCCCACCAUUCCUAACAACAUAACCAUGAAUUUCUCUCCCCGCCUUCAAAUCCAUAACAUCCCCACAGGCAGAUAAAAGUGCAAGCAAGGUGAUCCCAUCUCCCACAAAACCAUCCCUUCUCAUAUCCCCAAAAACCUCAAAAGCACCCCUUGCCUCCCCAUUCUUCACAAACCCCGACAUCAUAGUGUUCCAAGAAGUCAAGUCCCUCACAGGCAUUUUAUCAAACAUCACCCGCGCAGCUGCCACGUCACCAAACGUGAAGUACAUCGAGAGUAUCGAGUUGCCCACAUAAACAUCCUCUUCCAACCCACCGACCACCACCAAAGCAUGAACCUUUCUACCAAUUUCCCGAAGCAAAAGGUCCCCACAUGCCUUGAGGACAAAAGGGUAGGUGAAAUUAUCGGGCUUAUGUCCAAAAUGCAGCAUUUCGCGGUAUAAAAUAAGGGCUUUGGAUGGAGAGUUGUUGCAGGCGUAGCCCCUGAUCAUGGAAUUCCAGAGGAAUGAGUUCUUUAGCACGAUUUGGUGGAAGAUGUGUUGAGCGUAGGGCAUGUGGCCGCAUGCGGGUUGGAGAGUGAUUGGAGUAAAGUUCCACAUUGUAGAGAAUCAAGGGUGGUGAUGGUGGAACAAGGUUUGGGAAGAAGGGUUGCUGUUGUUUUAAGGAGUAACAUUGAGGCUGAGGGUGUCUUCCAUGAAUCAUGGAGAGGAACAAGUACGAGGACUGGGACUAGGACUAGGAGGGAGGUUUGUUGAAAAAAUGAAUGAAAAAAUAAAAGAGAAUCUGGAGAUGCGGGGUAUCGAUCCCCGUACCUCUCGCAUGCUAAGCGAGCGCUCUACCAUCUGAGCUACAUCCCCAUAUGAUAUACUUGUAUGUAUGUAUUAAAAAUUGUAUAUAAUAUAUGUUUCUAACUUGUAAUUUAAUAUUUUUUUCGUUCUUGAAAAAUUAUUAUUUUUCCUUAUACAUUAUGUUUAUUUUGUUUUAAAGUACUUUAAAUACUGAAAAAAUACUAUCAAAAAAUACUAUCAAAAAAAUAUAUAGUUUGCAAUGAUUAAAAAAAUAAUAAUUUUACAAGAAUGUAAAACAAAAAAAAAUACUAAAUUAUAAAGACUAAAAAAAUAUUUAAGCCAUUUCUGAAUUUAUGAGAAAGAAAAUAUAAAUGUACAAACCAUAUACUUAUAUAGGUGGUUGAGAAAUUGUGUAUAGUAAAUUAUAAUGAUUAAGUGUUGUUCUCGCCGGAUACUUGCACUAGACUUCUAAUGAUCUCUGCCUAUUAUUUUGCCUUGCUAUGUUACACAAUGUGAUGCAUUUUGAUGUUGUGUCUAUGCGAAAGUCACAACAUUAGGCUCGAUAGAGUUCAGACGAGGGUUAACCUUUUUUUUUUAUAGAAAUAUUGGGUGUGACACUAAUGGUGUGGCUUGCCCUGUAUGCUUGCUAAAUGCGGAAACGGUUGGUCAUGUGUUAUUAUCAUGCAACUUUGCUUAUGUUAUCUGGAUGAGGCUAUAAAAUUGGUUGGACUUUUCAAUGGUGUUACCAAAUGAGCCAUCAACUCAUUAGUGGCAACAUUGUGAAAUGAUAUUUGGGUCGAAAAAGAGAAUGAAUUGGUGGUUAGUGUGGAUCUCUAUUGUAUGGUUAUUAUGGCUAUUAAGAAAUGAGGUUGUGUUUAAUGAAGGAAAAACAGACAUAGAUCAUAUCUUUCAUUCGAUAACAUUGACUUCUUGGAAAUGGAUGUAGGCAUAUGUUAAGGGAUUUACAACAUCAUUUUAUGAAUGGGGGGCUCAACCUCUGUUAUGUUUAUAAUGGGUUAAGCUGAAGCUAUCUGGAUUUUGUAGGCUCUUGGUUUCUUUUCUUUCUAUCUUUGGUUAUGAACGUAAUCCUCUGUAUGUGGGUUUAGAGAAUAUAGCUUGUAUAAUGGGUAUUUCUUAUACCUAUAUUUCACAACUAUUUAUUAUCUGUUACAUUGGUUGUUUUUUUAAAAAAAAGUAGUGUGACACUGAACCAACAUGUCAAAGGGUGAUGCGAUCUUUGAAGAAGCUAACUUGUUUUGUCGAAUUUUAGGGGUUGUUUGGAAGGUAAUAGAAUCAUUUUAACAAAAUUGAGAAUCUUCUAUGGUACCCCAAAACCUAUAUCAUUGUGCGCUCCUACAAGUUUUUUGUCAAGAUAAGGUGAACUCUUAGUCCUAUGUAACUCUCCAUCAACCUUGUAGGUAGGCCACGAAUGAUAUUGGAUUUUAAAUGUAUCAUACGUAAUUUAGUUACUUGACAUUUCAUGGGGUUACUUGUGGUCAUCUUAGUAAGACCAGGCUAGAUCAUUAUAUUUAAUGAUAAUUUUUUGAAUCAAACAUAUCAAAAAAUUUGAUGAGAUUGAUAUUACACUCUCUUAAUUAUUGUAACCGGCCCACAUUGAUGCUUUCUUCCUUCAAAACAAAACACUAUGAUAUUUAAUAUUUUAUUUUGGAAGUUCUUAGUUAUGCAUGGAAAUGAAUUUAGAGAAUUUUAAAAAUUUUCAAUUAGAUUUUUUAUAUACUAGCAAUUGCCAAUGAAAGAAUGGAGACAUAGUUUUUUUUUUCGAAUAUAAAAGAUACAAAAAUUUGUAUUAAAAAGAGUGUUUAUGUUUCCAAGAUUCUCUUAACACAUAACAUUUACUAUGGAAUUGUUUCCUCAACCAAUGACUUACCUUAUAGUCUUAGUAGUAUUUACUAGCUUUUUUUUUUUUUUUUUUAUCUUGGAAAAACCAUAGAUUGUGGUGCAAAGAAUAUCGCAUACAUCAUAAUUAUUAAUCAAUAUGGUAAAGUAACAUUCAAAACAUGCCAUUCAAGUUAGCAUUAAUUCUAUAAGGAGCAAAAAUAUCGAUGGGUCAAGAUUGGGUAAGCUUGCUUAUGUUAAAGUUGACUAUAACUAAUUUUUAAACUUGGGAGAUGCAUGAUAUAUUUUAGUUGUCCAUCUAAUUUGUUAGUUUCUUAUAAUGACACAAAUUGUAAUAUUUUGUCAAAAGCUAAUAUAAAAUAUAAAAUUCUAAUUAAUUCUAGAAAAGCUAAUGUAGGUUUCAUGAAUGGCACUCUUGAAUUCUCCGUGGUAUGUAUGGGACAUAAAUUGGAAGUUGACUAUAAAUCUAUAAUAUGGACUAGGGGAUGAUAUUCCGAAGUGUGUUAUUAGAUGGAGGAAGAAGCUGAAUCAUUCAUAGCUAGAAAAUUUUUCUUUAGUGUCUUUUAUCAAUAAAGAUGAACAACUUACUGAUUAUCUUCUAUAAAUUUAUUUUUUUCUAACUUGGGUGGAGAUUGUUUGUAUGGUUAAGCUUAUUUGGGUAAUCUCUAAUAUUAAUCUAUUUAUAAUUGACUAAGAAAUGUAGUAGUUUUUCAUGUGAAUAAUCUUUUAUACUUUUAAUAAAUAAAGUGAAUGUUCAGUUAUUUAUGUUAUAUAACUCCACUUAUGUUUAUUUGAAGUUUUUGUUUUAAACCGGCUAAAAAAUAGUUUUCAUCCCUUAUUUUUUUAAUAUAUGAUUUCAGUUUUUUUUAUUUUUAAUUGAAAUAUUUUGUCCCUUACUUUAUAAAAAAAUUAUGAUUUUAGCAUUUUUCAAUUUCAAACUUGAUUAUGUAUUUUUAAUUUUUUUUAAUAAAUUAAGCUUGUUAGCAAUUAAAUAAUUAAAAAAAAACAUGUGUCAUGUGAAUAAAAAUAGAGAUGUGUCUGUCAACGUUUAAAAAAUAUAUUGAUCAACCUUUGAAAUUGACCACAAGUACUAAAAUUAUGAAUAUUUUAAAAUGGAUAACCAAAUAUCUCAAUUAAAAAAUAAAAAAUUAAAAUCACAAACUUUUUUAAAAGUGAGAUAUAAAAUGUCUCAAUUAAAAAAUAAGAGAACUAAAUUUAUAUAUUUAAGAAAAUAGAAGAAUGAAAAAUACAUUUUAUAGCCUUUAAACAAGAAUGUUUUUUAUGGUUUGCAAAAAGAAGUUUUUUUUCAUGUUUAAAGAAAAAAUUGUGAUGAGUUAAUUUGUUCAAGGAGAAAGUAAAAUCGGCAAGACUGUGACUUGUGGGAUACGUUUUGUAACAAUUUAUUUUUUUUAAUAAUGUUUUUUUAAUAUAUAUAUAUAUAUAUAUAUAUAUAUAUAUAUAUAUAUAUAUAUAUAUAUAUAUAUAUGUAUGUAUGUGUGUGUGUGUGUUCGCAUAUAGAUUAAGUAAUAUAUGUGAGUUAUUGUAAUAUUAAUUAAUGUCUUGAAGUUCUAAUUAAUCCUCCGUCAAAUAUGAGAAUUGCCUAGACAUAAACAUAUAAAAUAUAAAAGUAUUUUGAGACGGACAAAAUUCUUUUUAUAGAUGUUACGGUUGUUGCCCUACCUGUCUAUUGUAAAGCAUGUUGGUCCUAAGUUGAGCCAAUCCCAUGUAAUAUAAGUUUAAAUCUAAUUUUGUUUAAUAUAUAAUUUUUAUUUUCAUAUUUUAAAAUGAUCUCAUAUUUUUUUUUAAAAAAAAUCAUAAUUAUGGUCCAAUAUUUAAUUUUGCUUAUAUAUUUUUUAUUUUGGUCAAAAUAAAUCUAGACCUAACUUAUUUUUAAAAAAAUAUAUACCACCAGAAAAUUAUUUAAUUAAUUAAAAUAUAAGAAAUAAAAUAUAAAUAAAAUUAAAGAUUGAAUCAAAAUUGUAAAUUUUUUAAAAUAUAAGAAUCAAAAUUAUAAAUUUUUUAAAAUAAAAGAGUUAAAUAUAUUUAUUUUAAAAUAAAUAAAUCAAAAUUGUGGAUCAAAUGAAUUAAGAACAACAAAAUUAUAUUUAAGUCAACAAUAUAUUAAUAUUAUAAAGUCAUGAGAUGAUGAUGCCAUAUAAAUAAGCUAAGUGCAAGGGCAAUAAAAUAAAAACAAAGUAGUGUGGUGGAAGCAUCUAAAAAUGUAAAAACACUAGGUUGGGGGUAUGAGAGCAAAAGAAAAGAAACAUCGAAGUCCAAGACGAGACAUCAUGGUUCAUGGGUGUCCCACAAUGUUCUCCCCACGUCUCUAUUAGGACUUUCAAUGCAUCGUUGUCUUUUCUCUCUUUCUCUCUCCUCUGACGCCCCCUCCUCCCACCACCCAGCACAAGAAACAAACAACCUUCGAAUGAUCAAUUUUCCCAGGUGACACAGAUUCGUGUACUUUUGGUAUUACAAUUCAUCAAUAACAUUUCAAAAUCAGAAAACCCACACACAUAAAAACAAGAAAAAAAAAAUCAAACUUUCAACGUAGAUUCAAAACACUUGUUAUACCUUUGCAUGAAUUGGGUUAUGCAUGCUCUCGCUUACGUAACGUUCAUUUGAUUGGUUAUUAUAUACAUGUACCUUAUCAAAUAUCAACCCAUUGUUCAACUUCAUCAAAUUUUGGAAUAUUCUCCUUCUCUCUGAUUAUAUUGUCACAUUCAAGAUCCUGAAUUUCCAACCUUCGUGGGUUAAUUAGUUUGUAUAAAAGUUGAGCGAUCUGCGAAGUUUGGAUAUCAAUUUUGGACACAAGUGACAUUAAUUAUAUAUUAUUCCUUGAUUUGGAAGCUAUAUAUAAAGGCUCUUUGAGAAGGUGCAAGGAUUAUUAUAUGUUGGAGACUUGAGAGAAAUUUUCAAGUUCAAUGAAAUAUGAGACGGGAAUUAUGCGUUUGGAUUGGUGAAGUUAUUAGAAACAAUAAUGGAAUUGAUAAGACUCAGUUAUGCGGUUGUUUAUGUCAUUCUCCUUUGUGCGUUGGCCCAAGGGGGCUCAGAAGGGAAGGGGGGGAAGGAAGAGGAGAUUUCUAGAGAUGGUGGAGAAGCUUUCUCAUCUUCCAUUAAUUAUGUGCAUGGAAUUAAUAAGGUAAUAUUGGUCUUUUCGAAUUUUAAUUUGUCCCUUUUUUUUUGUUUGUUCAUGAUUGUGCUCGGGAUUCUUCUUUCUAUUCUGAAUAAAUAUUUGAUGACCCUUUUGAAUUUUUUGGUUUUGAAUUUCAUUGUCAUAUUCAUCUGUUUAAUUUGAUAGUAAUUGGCUUAAUUAUGCAGAACUUCCUCAGCUUUUAGAUCUUAAACUCUAUUAAACUGACUCUAGCGUGCGAACUGCAUGCAUAUUAUGUGAUUCCUUGACCGUAGGGCUAUCUGUUUGUAUAUCAAACACAAGGUCUAAGAUAACUUCUUAAUGAAUUUUGUUAAAUCUCCUUUAAUUUACCGAUUACUAUGUUAGAUAGUAAUAUAUGACUUUGUAAAAUUAUAUUGGCAACUGGACACAUGGAAUAAUAGACAUACUAGUUAAUCUUUCACACUAUAUACUGAAUGGCGAUAUUCUCUUAUUUUGGUUUUAUACAGGUAGAAAAUGAAUUGAAACAUUGCAGGAAAGAAUUGAUAGAGAGGAACAAUGAUGUCAAAACUAGUACUUCUCCUCCUGCUCCUGUUUCAGAAAAGGGUAGCUCUAGAUAUUUAUUGCCAAAGCAUUCUAGAUCAACCUUGGGUGUGGAAAGUGCUCAUGGCAGAAAUUUGAUUGCUGAUUCACCACAUAAUGCACCAAGUCCUUCUGCUACUACUGCUGAACCACCAAGUCAUGGUCCAACACCAACAAGUUCUCCAUCAUCACCAACUCCAUCAUCACCGUCUCAAUCAUCACCAACUCCAAGUCCAAAAGGUGUGGAUUUACCACUCCCUCCAGAUAUGUUUGUGCCACUUCCACCAUCACCCCGUGCACCUCAUCCUCCUCCUCAGAAUUUUCGACCUAUAGUAGAUGCUCCUGUUGCUUCAUCACCUAACAAUGAAAACAAAAAGAAGCAAACAAUUAUUUUAGCUGCCUCUUUAUCAGGAAUUAUUAUCUUGAUAGGCUUGGCCCUCUGCUAUCGCGAGGCCAGAGGCAACAAAGGUGACAGAGAUGACAGGCCCUUGUUGGUAUUAACCUCAAGUGACUAUUCUGGUGGUAUGUUCAUGUUCUUCUUUCUACAUUAGCCUAUUUGUUUAUCAUAUAGUUUAAUUUCUAUGCACCAUUAACAUGAUUAUCCAAUUAAAAAUCAUGAUAAGUAUGACUUCUAAUAUAUUUUUUUGUAAAAGGCAACAAACUUACCACACAUGAUAGUUUACCACACAUGAUAGUUGAUGGGAUGAUAUUAUAAAAAUAUUUUACAUUGUGAGUACAUAACACUUCUCUUUAUAAUGUAUGAAACCUCAAGAGUGAAGAGCAAACUCUUAAAUUGCCACAUCAGUUUCUUGAAGACUUGAAUUUAUAUCUUUUAGCCACAUAAAAAAAAAAAAAAUUCAACAUUCAUACUUCUUGAUUUAAUGUCUUUUCAACUUUUGUUUUUUUUUUUAACAAGUAUCAAUUUUAAUCAAGAGACUACAAAAACCAUUAUUCUGUCAUUCCUCCUUUUGCAAUUAACUUUAGGAAUAAUCAAUGAAUUCUUAGGCUACCACAAGAAGUUUGAACACAUUCUUUUAUAAAAUGAACCAAAGAAUAAUCAAUUUUUUUUUCUGAAGUAUUAAAUUCUUCCAGUGUCUGGGUUACCAUCUAGUUGCAUAUGAUUGUGAAACAUUACACUUGGUCCUUCAAUCAAUGCUUCCAUGUUAAAAUUUUUUCUUCAGGUUCAAAGAAGGUUGUUCGAUUGGGAGAUGCUGACAAGGAAGAAUCUGACAUUGACAAUGGAAAGAAACCUUCUAAUUUUAGAAAUUGGUCCAUUAAGGGUGGACAUAACAAUGCCUCACUGGUUGAGACAACAGCAUCAGAAGGUGUAGGACAAGUUCUCAAAGGAAAGCCUGCCCCUCCACCUCCACCUCUACCUCCUGGACCACCACCACCAUCAGCUCCAAAGCCGCCACCGCCUCCUGCUCCUCGUGCACCGCCACCUCCAAAAGGUGCUCAUCCUCCACCUGCUCCUCCCAAACCAUUGGGAGGUAAAAAUCAAGGUCCAUUACUUGCUAAAGA
rnacentral:lncRNA from 1 species